rnacentral:rRNA from 1 species
UACGUAGGGGGCAAGCGUUGUCCGGAAUCAUUGGGCGUAAAGCGCGUGUAGGCGGCUUGGUCAGUCUGCUCUGAAAGCCCGGGGCUCAACCCUGGGAGGCGGGUGGAUACUGCCGAGCUCGAGUCCGGAAGAGGCGAGUGGAAUUCCCGGUGUAGCAGUGAAAUGCGUAGAGAUCGGGAGGAACAUCAGUUGCGAAGGCGGCUCUCUGGACCAGCACUGACACUGAGGCACGAAAGCGUGGGGAGCAAACAGG